GAUGAACGCUGGCGGCGUGCUUAACACAUGCAAGUCGAACGAUGAAGCCCAGCUUGCUGGGUGGAUUAGUGGCGAACGGGUGAGUAACACGUGAGUAACCUGCCCUUAACUCUGGGAUAAGCCUGGGAAACUGGGGCUAAUACCGGAUAGGAGCGUCCACCGCAGGGUGGGUGUUGGAAAGAUUUAUCGGUUUUGGAUGGACUCGCGGCCUAUCAGCUUGUUGGUGAGGUAAUGGCUCACCAAGGCGACGACGGGUAGCCGGCCUGAGAGGGUGACCGGCCACACUGGGACUGAGACACGGCCCAGACUCCUACGGGAGGCAGCAGUGGGGAAUAUUGCACAAUGGGCGCAAGCCUGAUGCAGCGACGCCGCGUGAGGGAUGACGGCCUUCGGGUUGUAAACCUCUUUCAGUAGGGAAGAAGCGAAAGUGACGGUACCUGCAGAAGAAGCACCGGCUAACUACGUG
rnacentral:rRNA from 1 species